rnacentral:rRNA from 1 species
AGAGUUUGAUCAUGGCUCAGAUUGAACGCUGGCGGCAUGCCUAACACAUGCAAGUCGAACGGUAACAGGCCUUCGGGCGCUGACGAGUGGCGGACGGGUGCGUAACGCGUGGGAAUCUGCCCAAUAGUGGGGGAUAACCCGGGGAAACUCGGGCUAAUACCGCAUACUCCCCAUGGGGGAAAGCGGGGGACCGCAAGGCCUCGCGCUAUUGGAUGAGCCCGCGUCCGAUUAGCUAGUUGGUGGGGUAAAGGCCUACCAAGGCGACGAUCGGUAGCUGGUCUGAGAGGACGACCAGCCACACUGGGACUGAGACACGGCCCAGACUCCUACGGGAGGCAGCAGUGGGGAAUAUUGGACAAUGGGGGAAACCCUGAUCCAGCAAUGCCGCGUGCAGGAAGAAGGCCUUCGGGUUGUAAACUGCUUUUGUACGGAACGAAACGGUCCUGGUUAAUACCUGGGACUAAUGACGGUACCGUAAGAAUAAGCACCGGCUAACUACGUGCCAGCAGCCGCGGUAAUACGUAGGGUGCAAGCGUUAAUCGGAAUUACUGGGCGUAAAGCGUGCGCAGGCGGUUUUGUAAGACAGGCGUGAAAUCCCCGGGCUUAACCUGGGAAUUGCGCUUGUGACUGCAAGGCUGGAGUGCGGCAGAGGGGGAUGGAAUUCCGCGUGUAGCAGUGAAAUGCGUAGAUAUGCGGAGGAACACCGAUGGCGAAGGCAAUCCCCUGGGCCUGCACUGACGCUCAUGCACGAAAGCGUGGGGAGCAAACAGGAUUAGAUACCCCGGUAGUCC